rnacentral:misc_RNA from 1 species
UCGGCCGCUAACGAGCUGGUUAACGGAGAAAAUAGCGAGAGUAGCUAGUGCUCUACGCCGCUACACAACAUUCUAAUUACACACCAAACGCAAGCCGAUGAACGUCAAUCAAGCUCCCAUUCGGCACUGAUCCUCGCUGAUUGGACAACGUUGGCUCCGCCUAACUCUAAUGCCCGCUCGACCCAAAUCGAGCGUGCUAGCAAACGUGUGUGCGUAUCGCGGCAAGAAGCAUCUUAGUCAGGUAAGUGUCUGUAUUAAUGUUUAAUUCACAAAUCCGCUAAAGGAUCACGGCCCGACUAUUGAAACGGCUUUAGUUGGCGCUAAUUCCUAAAUAAAUUCCUUGAGCGCAAACUUUUCGCGAACGACAACUGGAAGUAGCUUAAAAAUCAUUUCUACAUUUCAGUCCAAUUUACUUAGACCAAAAGAGUGAUUAAAACCUGGGACGGAUAUGGCUGGAAUGGCUUACUCGUCCGUUCCCUGUUCGAAACCUCCUCCUUGCGGACCUCCUCCAUUGCCCUACGCGGUUAACGGACUUUCUCUGGCCACAACUCACAGUCAUCAUGAUAUGAUGCAUCAUCCAGCCAUGGGAUAUGCCGCCGCCAACCCGCGUAAACAAAGGAGAGAAAGAACGACGUUCACAAGAGCCCAACUGGACGUGCUGGAGGCGCUAUUUCAGAAAACUCGCUAUCCCGACAUAUUCAUGAGAGAAGAAGUCGCUUUAAAAAUUAAUUUGCCAGAAUCUAGAGUUCAGGUGUGGUUUAAGAAUCGUAGAGCCAAAUGCCGUCAACAACAAAAGCAACAAGAAACAACUAAAGGAUCGACUGGCAGUGGUGGUAGUGGAUCAUCCUCGGUUGUUACUCAGCCGAGUAGCAACACAAGCAACGGAACUUCAUCUUCAACUCCGCCGACUUCCACUCCAACUAAUAAGCCAGUCAUAAAGAAAAAGCAGGAGGAUCAUGGAUCAUCGACUGCCUCAACCGGAAGUAGUCCACCAUACAAAGACUAUAAAGACUACAGCAAGAGCGCCGCUACUCCUCUUUGGUCACCUGUUUCAGAUCCAUUGGCCAGCUCUUGCAUGCAGAGAACGACUUACAUGCCUCCGCCUUCCGCCGCCUAUUCGACUCAUGGAACCGCCUCUCCUUAUGCGCCGUGCAACUCCUAUUAUGCUCCGCAAACUGGAAUGGAUUACAUGAAUGGCGCAGGACAACAGUGUUCGCCUAAUAUGUACCAUUCUCCCGCCCCUGCACCGGCCAUGCCAAAUGCUUAUUUUGCUCCUCGUACUCCGGAUAGUGGAAUGAUAGUGGAACAUCAUACUUCCACUUCGUCUCCAUCUCCCUCGUUGGUCACAUGGUCGUCAAACGCUACGCCAAAAUUUCAAAUGCUCUAAAAAGUCUCUAUAUCCAAUCGUUAUGUUAAUUUAUAUCAAUGUGCAUGCAUGUGUAUACGUGUAAACGUGUCAAUGUCGUCUUUCUCUUGCCGUAGUCAGUAUUGGGUUUGAAAAAUUGGAAAAGAGCGGUGUUGUCUAUAUUUACAGCAAAUUACUAUGUAAUACUAUGUAAUGUACGCGUAUACAGCGUCUACUAUGUAUAUAUUUCCUUAAACUUUGACUAUACAUUUUCUCCUUAUCAUAUUUUCUCCGUUUUUUUCUCCUUAAAUCUCCCUGCUCAUUUUAUCUCGAAAAUAAAAAGUGAAGUGUUGUGCACUGUAAAUUGUAUAUAUACAAAUUUCAUUUGGAAAGUUUUCGUGUUUGUGUAUGUACA